rnacentral:rRNA from 1 species
UGGGGAAUAUUGCACAAUGGGCGCAAGCCUGAUGCAGCGACGCCGCGUGAGGGAUGACGGCCUUCGGGUUGUAAACCUCUUUCGCCAGGGACGAAGCGCAAGUGACGGUACCUGGAGAAGAAGCACCGGCCAACUACGUG